ACGAACGCUGGCGGCGUGCUUAACACAUGCAAGUCGCACGGAAAGGCCCUGCUUUUGUGGGGUGCUCGAGUGGCGAACGGGUGAGUAACACGUGAGUAACCUACCCUUGACUUUGGGAUAACUUCAGGAAACUGGGGCUAAUACCGGAUAGGAGCUCCUGCUGCAUGGUGGGGGUUGGAAAGUUUCGGCGGUUGGGGAUGGACUCGCGGCUUAUCAGCUUGUUGGUGGGGUAGUGGCUUACCAAGGCUUUGACGGGUAGCCGGCCUGAGAGGGUGACCGGCCACAUUGGGACUGAGAUACGGCCCAGACUCCUACGGGAGGCAGCAGUGGGGAAUAUUGCACAAUGGGCGGAAGCCUGAUGCAGCAACGCCGCGUGCGGGAUGACGGCCUUCGGGUUGUAAACCGCUUUCGCCUGUGACGAAGCGUGAGUGACGGUAAUGGGUAAAGAAGCACCGGCUAACUACGUG
rnacentral:rRNA from 1 species